UUUCAGUCAGUCACAUCCGCCCCUCCCCCACAGCUCACAGUCACUGGAUCACAGCCGGACGGCUCGCGACGCCGUCACGGAAAAUAACAGCUGGACACAGACAAACGAGUCCCGCGAAUUGUAUUUUUAAACUGGAGAGACAGCUGACAGGAUGUCGUCAUCUGUAACCGUCACUCGCCACAGUUCUCAAGAGAGAAAGGCAGCGAGGGGUGGUGUGAUGUCAUUUGCAACAAGACGGCUGAUACUAAUAUGAGCCUAAAAUAAAGGACAAUAAUGGCAUCAGCCAUUCAAGUUAUGAUCCUGGCAGAUCUACUACUAUCUGAAAAGUAGUCUCUGCAGAUUGUUUCAAGAUACACAAGAUGGAGCGUGGAGAGACGGGACAUGGACCACAGUUUUUCAGCACCCACACCCCACACUCAAAUUCAUAUAGAAGUUCUCAAUUAUUAAAUGUUAAUUUCAUAGUUUAUAUUUAGCUGUGAAGUUAUAGUUCAUUGUCAUAAAUAUUAAACUACAUAUUAUUAUUAUUAUUAUUAUUUUACAUGAUAUGCAAAUUUCACCAAUUUGUUUAAUGUGUUAAUUAACUUUUUGAAAUUGAUUAUCUUUAAUAAUUCAGAUACCUGUUGAAAUGCACAUGUAAUUAUAUACUUGCUCGUAUCUGGAAGGUUGUGUUAAUAAAAAUGAUGUUGAAAGCGAA